AUUAGCUCAGUUGGUUAGAGCGUCGGAUUGUGGUUCCGAAGGUCGUGGGUUCGACCCCCACAUU
rnacentral:tRNA from 1 species